CCUACGGGCGGCAGCAGUGAGGAAUAUUGGUCAAUGGGCGCGAGCCUGAACCAGCCAAGUCGCGUGAGGGAAGACGGUCCUAUGGAUUGUAAACCUCUUUUGUCGGGGAGCAAAAGACGCCACUCGUGGCUUUCCGAGAGUACCCUACGAGAAAGCAUCGGCUAACUCCUGGCCAGCAGCCGCGGUAAUACGGAGGAUGCGAGCGUUAUCCGGAUUUAUUGGGUUAAAGGGGUGGGCAGACGGAAGAUAAAGUCAGCGGUAAAAUUGAGAGGCUCAACCUGUUCGAGCCGUUGAAACUGGUUUUCUUGAGUGAGCGAGAAGUAUGCGGAAUGCGUGGUGUAGCGGUGAAAUGCAUAGAUAUCACGAAGAACUCCGAUGGCGAAGGCAGCAUACCGGCGCUCAACUGACGCUCAUGCACGAAAGUGAGGGUAUCGAACAGGAUUAGAUACCCUUGUAGUC
rnacentral:rRNA from 1 species